rnacentral:misc_RNA from 1 species
GAUGAAGAACGCAGCGAAAUGCGACAAGUAAUGUGAAUUGCAGAAUUCAGUGAAUCAUCGAAUCUUUGAACGCACAUUGCGCCCGCCAGUAUUCUGGCGGGCAUGCCUGUUCGAGCGUCAUUACAACCCUCAGGCCCCCGGGCCUGGCGUUGGGGAUCGGCGGAGCCCCCCGUGGGCACACGCCGUCCCCCAAAUACAGUGGCGGUCCCGCCGCAGCUUCCAUCGCGUAGUAGCUAACACCUCGCGACUGGAGAGCGGCGCGGCCACGCCGUAAAACACCCAACUCUUCUGAAGUUGACCUCGAAUCAGGUAGGAAUACCCGCUGAACUUAAGCAUAUAAUAAGCGGAGGA